GAGGGUAUACCUCAGUGGUAGAGUGCAUGCCUAGCAUUCAUGAGGUCCUGAGUUCUAUCCCACGUACCUCCA
rnacentral:tRNA from 1 species